UACGGGGGGGGCAAGCGUUGUUCGGAAUUACUGGGCGUAAAGGGCGCGUAGGCGGCCUGAUAAGUAGGGGGUGAAAUCCUGCGGCUUAACCGCAGGGCUGCCUUCUAAACUGUCAGGCUAGAGCACGGUAGAGGCAGAUGGAAUUCCCGGUGUAGCGGUGGAAUGCGUAGAGAUCGGGAAGAACACCUGUGGUGUAGACAGCUUACUGGACCACGACUGACGCUGAGACACGAAAGCGUGGGUAGCAAACAGG
rnacentral:rRNA from 1 species